rnacentral:ncRNA from 1 species
CUUAUCAUGAGCGGUGGAGGAACGGGUCCUGUGAAGCCGCGGCAACCGCGUAUCUGCGUGCAUUGCGCAUACGAAUGGUGCCAAGUCCUGCGGCAGUUUCUGCCGAAAGAUGAGG